rnacentral:misc_RNA from 1 species
AACCAUAGAAACCUGCGGAGUACCUGCGGAGGGAUCAUUACACAAUACAAUAUGAAGGCUGUCCGCAGCUGGAGUAUUUUAUUACCCUUGUCUUUUGCGCACUUGUUGUUUCCUGGGCGGGUUCGCUCGCCACCAGGACCACCAAAUAAACCUUUUUUAUGCAGUUGCAAUCAGCGUCAGUACAAACAAUGUAAAUCAUUUACAACUUUCAACAACGGAUCUCAGAUCGGAAGAGCACAC